rnacentral:rRNA from 1 species
GGUCGUCGUCAGCUCGUGUCGUGAGAUGUUGGUUAAGUCCCGCAACGACGCGCAACCCCUAUUGUUAGUUGCCAUCAUUCAGUUGGGCACUCUAGCGAGACUGCCGGUAAUAAACCGGAGGAAGGUGGGGAUGACGUCAAAUCAUCAUGCCCCUUAUGACCUGGGCUACACACGUGCUACAAUGGUUGGUACAACGAGUUGCGAGUCGGUGACGGCGAGCUAAUCUCUUAAAGCCAAUCUCAGUUCGGAUUGUAGGCUGCAACUCGCCUACAUGAAGUCGGAAUCGCUAGUAAUCGCGGAUCAGCACGCCGCGGUGAAUACGUUCCCGGGCCUU